AGAUUUUAAAUGAGUGCUAAGAGAAUGAUUAAACAAUUAAAAGCUUUCUUUAAUUGAAUAAUUGAAUUUAAUUUUUUAGUGCAAAAGCAAAAAUAAAAAUUAGGGACAAGAAGACCCUAUGAAUUUUUUAUUAAAUUUUAUAAAACUUUAUAUAAAAUUUAAUUUAAUUGGGGUGAUGGAAAAAGAAUAAAUAUCUUUUUUUUUAAAAAAAAUUGGUUCCGUUUUUAGCGAUUAAAUGAAAAAAAUACUCUAGGGAUAACAGCGUAAUAAUUUUGGAUAGUUCAUAUAGAUAAAAUAGUUUGCGACCUCGAUGUUGGAUUAGGAUUCUUUUUUGGUGAAGAAGUUAAAAAAAGAA
rnacentral:rRNA from 1 species